UACAGAGGGGGCAAGGCGUUGUUCGGAAUUACUGGGCGUAAAGGGCGCGUAGGCGGCCUUCUAAGUCGAACGUGAAAUCCCCGGGCUCAACCCGGGAACUGCGUCCGAUACUGGAAGGCUUGAAUCCGGGAGAGGGAUGCGGAAUUCCAGGUGUAGCGGUGAAAUGCGUAGAUAUCUGGAGGAACACCGGUGGCGAAGGCGGCAUCCUGGACCGGCAUUGACGCUGAGGCGCGAAAGCCAGGGGAGCAAAGCGGG
rnacentral:rRNA from 1 species